UACGUAGGUGGCAAGCGUUAUCCGGAAUUAUUGGGCGUAAAGCGCGCGCAGGCGGUUUCUUAAGUCUGAUGUGAAAGCCCACGGCUCGACCGUGGAGGGUCAUUGGAAACUGGGGGAACUUGAGUGCAGAAGAGAAAAAGCGGAAUUCCACGUGUAGCGGUGAAAUGCGUAGAGAUGUGGAGGAACACCAGUGGCGAAGGCGGCUUUUUUGGUCUGUAACUGACGCUGAGGCGCGAAAGCGUGGGGGAGCAAACAGG
rnacentral:rRNA from 1 species